UGGUGUGACAGUUCUUAUCUAGUGUCAAGCUCAUCAGAUCUAGAAAUCCUUUGGAGAUAAUCUGGGGGCGUGUUUGAUAGGGACUUUCAAGACUAGGUUAAUGUAGGUGGAAGACCCACCCUAAAUGUGGGCAGCACGACUCCAUUCUAGGCUUGGGUCUUAGAAUGAACAAGGAGAAAAGGAGCUGAACACCAAUAUUCAUCUCUGUUUCCUGACCGUGACCAUGAAUGCAACGUGAUGGGUUGCCAGUGCCUUCCCAUCACAGUCGGCUGUAUCCUCAAAGUUGAAACAAAAUAACCCCUUUUUUUUUUUCCUCGAGCUACUUUUGUCAGGUUAUUUUGUUACAGCAGCAGACUGGUAACUAAUACAACUGGCUUUGCCCUGAGCCAUUACUGGAUAGCUCUGGAUCACCAGCCCUCUUCAUAACUCUCCUCAUAACCUCUUGGAUCCGUCCCCUCCAGGCCAAAUCCUCAGCCUGAGGCUCACAGUCUGUCUCUCACCCAACUCUGUGGAGAGUCUGUCCUGCCAGCUGGCCACCCAGGGUGGCCAUAUCAUCCUCCUGCCUCAUCUCCCACCUCUCUGCCCAUCUCUGCCUUGUUACCUCUGCCUGGAAGAAGACCCCCACCUCCUACUUGUGAUUAGGUUAUGGGUCUUCUCCUCCCUGUCUAGGCACACAUGGCUGACCAUAGCUGCUUCUGGGCUACGUUGAGAUAUCCAUGUUCUUCUAUGCCCUCUCACAGCCUCCUGGUCUGCAUACUGCCUGAGAUCUUCCCUGGGCCAGAUCUACUUCAGUCUCAUGGCUGUUUGUGCAUGGCUGGGUUCCAGACAUCUGUCUCCAGCCCCUUGUUCUCCCCAGACUGUAGACUCAGCCCCAUCCCCUCCUGGAUGUCCAAUGAGGUAGGAAGCUGUCUUUCUGACAUAAAACCCUGGGCUUCUCCUGGUUUGGGCCUUUGGGCUUGUAGCUAUGGUCUAGGAAUCCCUUAGCUGUUCAGAGCCGUAUGAGGCCGGCCACCUCUUUGGCCACUUCCAUGGACUAGAUCUGUGCCCAGUGUUUCACUGUGCUGCCUCUUGCCCACCCUACUUGCCUCCAGUGCACCUUGUCAUGACGGUAGUUCUGCUUGCCUCUAGUCUCUCUGCUCCUACUCAGCUCAAGGACCAGAGCCAUGCUGGGCAUGCGUGAGGCUUUGGCACUCCUGCCUUGAACCUGCCACAGCCUGAUCCCUUGCAGAAAUGCUAAAUCUCCUGGGGUUGUGAUGCUGUGACCUCCCUCUCCUCAGCCCUCCUAACCUUACUUCCUGCCUACUUUACACUUAUGUCAUCUUCCUUUAUGGCUUCCUGGCUUUCUUGCAGAUUACCUGUCAUUUGUCAGAAUAAGAGCUUCCUGAGGGCAGGAGGGACAUAUGAUUAGUUAGCUUGUUGGCAUAUUUUAUUUUCCCCCAGCAAAACAGGUGGAGGCAUAGUGCUCUGAUGGACUAUUUAUAUAACUCAUUUCCUCUCCAGAGAAGCUCUGUAGGGCAAUGCUUGGGUCUCUGGGACAUGGUAACUACUAGUGGAAAAAGUUGGGGGUUUGUGUGGGUGGAUUUUGCAUGAACCACCCUUAGCAUUCUGCCCAGGUGAGCCCUCCAUCCCUGGUGGGGUACACACAUAGCUUCCUGAGAGGCAACUGCCAGCCUUAAACCUUAACACCCCAUCCAUCCAUCCAUCCAUCCAUCCAUCCAUCCAUCCAUCCAUCCAUCCAUCCAUCCAAGCUCCGUUUUCCCCAGGGAAGGCAAUACUUGACACUCUCUUUUUUUUUCUAGGACCUCUCACUAUGAGCCAUCAUCUUGUAGUGUUUCAAAACAUUCUUUUUGAGUUCAGAACGGAUGCUCUUAAUUACUGGAAGAAGGAGGAAGAGGAAGAAGAGAAAGAGGAGGAGGAGGAGAGGCUUGGGACCCAGUGGGACAGAAAAGUUUGUCAGAAAAGCACGUGAGAUCUCCAUGGCAUACUUCCAGAGGAUGGCAGGCUGUGGUCCUGAGAACGCUGAAGCCAAGAGGAAACACCUCAGAUGUCUAUGGGGAAGUUCCUCAAGACUCCAAACGCUAGCCAUGAAUAGCCAAGUCACGCCAUCUGUCUGAUUUCUCCAAGAAUUUAUGAUCCUAUCAUUAGAGUGUUCAUAUUCCAACUCAAACCACCAUGUCUGUCUGUCUGUCUCUCUGUCUCUGUCUCUGUCUCUGUCUCUGUCUCUGUCUCUCUCUCUCUCUCUCUCUCUCACACACACACACACACACACACACACACACACACACACACACACACAUUGUGCUUUAGUUUGCAAGAUCUCACAUACAUGAAGGCCCCAAGGGUUCUCUAGGGUGGCUGUUCACAUCCUGGAUUUUCAGAUGGGGAAUGAGAGCAUCAGGGGGAUGGCCUUAAUCAGCUCUCCAGGGAAAACCCUCCUGGGUAUAGCAUCUUCUGGUUUUAUGAUAUAAUUCAUCCUUAGCUGGGAAGAGGCACAGACACCUCUCUCCACUGGUUCUGACUGGUUCUAGCCCAACCAGGGCCUUAGCCCAGAGACAAAACUGCCUGUGCUCAGCCUUCAGAGGCAGAGGCAUGCCUGGAACUCCCAUCUCCAUUGCUCUCCUCACUGAGGCCACGUAGCCCUGACCUGCUUCCUUUCUGCCUGGCUCUGGUUCUGUGUCUGGAACACAGAGGGGAAACAAUGACCCGACUGUGCAGAUAGUAAUGACUGGACUAUCGAUAUCGACUUCUCUAUUUCCCUCUCUGCCAUCUUCCUCUGCCUCUGGCGGGUCUGUUCAGUGAGGGAUACAGAGAUCUGACUGCAAACAGCUGGGUUCAGGUGAAGGAGGUACGCAUCCCUGACUUGGCUGAAUCCCAGGUAACAUCCUUGGACACCAUUACUCCAGCUGCAAAGAAGAGAUCCUAACAACCACUUCAGAGGUGUUAAAGACAGAAGACUGGAGGUCCAAAAGCCAUGUAGAAAGUCCCCAAUAACUGUGGCCAAAGGCUUAAGACUUCAGGGUCCGGUGACAGGUCUAAUUUCACCUGGACCUUCAACCUUUGUAGGUACCUGGUGUCAUCUAAGACAGGGAACCACCUAAAAGGAACAUUCCAGACGGGGAAAUUCCUUUAGGGCAAAUCCCCUAAAUGCUGACAAGGUGAAAACAAGGCAGAAGCAAUAAAUAUAAAAAAAGGCUGGAUCGGCUGUGCCACAAAGAGCAAGGCAAACCAUUCAUCGAUGCUGACAAAUUACGGGAGACAGGCACGGGAGCCCGGAAGUCCAUUUUUCGUGGAACCUCCUAGAGUGUCUUGCCUCUGCAGGUGGCGAGACAUGGCUUGCUAACAUGGCUUCCCCAAAGGCAGCUGCUCUCCGUGGACACAGCAGCGUUUGUUUUCUAGGUUGUGGUGAAGCUUUCUGGUCUAGGACUGUAGGAUGUGUUCAGUUGGGGGAAGGGAUGGGGCUUUAUCCUUCCAGGGACCUUUGAACUAUCCCUUGCCAGCGGAAGUCAGGAGUCCCCUCCUCCAGGAGGCACUACUGGUGGCACUGAGUUCCUUACAUAAGGAUAUUCAGAAAGUUCCUGAGGAAGCAGAUGAGGACCCACAUCACAGAUACCCACUCAGGGCUUUGUCCAAGCUCACAGUAGCUCCACUGCUAUUGUUUCUCCUUAGGCUGGUGCUUUCUGGGAACUCCCAGGGCAAAAGCACACCCGGGGAAUUAAGCUAGAGGUGUGCAGACAUAGCAAUCAACUUCCCCAAACCUCCCCAGAGCUAAGGUUCCUGAGAAUCUCUCCUUAGAUGACCUCAGUAUCGGGUGUUCCGCUCCGCAUGAGCUGAGCCUCCGCACAGGGUUGUCCCGAGAACUACAAUACACACAAUACAAUACAAUACAAUACAAUACAAUACAAUACAAUACAAUACAACACAAUACAAUACAAUACACACAAUACAAUACAAUACAAUACACACAAUACAAUACAAUACAAUACAAUACACACAAUACAAUACAAUAAAAUACACACAAUAAAUACAAUACAAUACACACAAUACAAUACAAUACACGUUGUCUACAUUUGUCUAGUCUUGCCCUCAUCCAUUCAAGUACCCUAGUGACUCUUCGAAGUGGACUGUGAUUUAGCUUUAGACCCAUCCCUCUCUGGGGUCUUUGACUAUAACAGUGGUUCUGAGACUUUCAAAUACUGUGACCCUUUAAUACAGUUCCUCAUAUUGUGGUAACCCCCCAUCAAUAAAAUUAUUUUUGUUGCUACUUCA